rnacentral:rRNA from 1 species
AUUGAACGCUGGCGGCAUGCCUUACACAUGCAAGUCGAACGGCAGCACGGGUGCUUGCACCUGGUGGCGAGUGGCGAACGGGUGAGUAAUACAUCGGAACAUGUCCUGUAGUGGGGGAUAGCCCGGCGAAAGCCGGAUUAAUACCGCAUACGAUCUACGGAUGAAAGCGGGGGACCUUCGGGCCUCGCGCUAUAGGGUUGGCCGAUGGCUGAUUAGCUAGUUGGUGGGGUAAAGGCCUACCAAGGCGACUAUCAGUAGCUGGUCUGAGAGGACGACCAGCCACACUGGGACUGAGACACGGCCCAGACUCCUACGGGAGGCAGCAGUGGGGAAUUUUGGACAAUGGGCGAAAGCCUGAUCCAGCAAUGCCGCGUGUGUGAAGAAGGCCUUCGGGUUGUAAAGCACUUUUGUCCGGAAAGAAAUCCUUGGCCCUAAUACGGUCGGGGGAUGACGGUACCGGAAGAAUAAGCACCAGCUAACUACGUG